CAAAACAAAACAAAAAAACAACUUUUUUUUUUGGAAAAAGAAAAGAGAGAAAGCUCGAAAGAUGGCAGUCUUGAAGAAGAUGACAGCUGUACUUUGUUUAUAAAACAAUAUGGUCCCUUACUGAAGGACCAGGAUGAGAGCUGCCCCAAAGUAAAUAGCUUCUUAACUCAGAAUAAGCAUGAUGAAGGAUUGUAUAGAUUCAGUAGUCUAAAUGAUUUGUCUCAACCUAUUUCCCAAAAUAAUGAGAGUACUUUGCCGGCAUAUCGUGGUGGUGAUUUUGUGUUGUUUCCACCUGCAUUGGCAGGGAAGCUUGCUGCCUCUGCUCAUCAGGCAACUAAAGCAAAACCUGAUGAGCCAGAAUUUCACUCAUCUCAAUCAAACAACCAGAAACAAGUAAUUGAAGAAUCAGCUAUUUACAGUCAAGUUUCUCUUUUGUUAGUUAAGAGUUUAACGUUGAAACCUUUUGAAAGCCAGGGAAGAGGGCAUCUUUCUUCCCAAUCAACCCAAAGCAAAAAUAGAAAAUUAUCAAAUGAGAGCUUGAAUGCUAAUAAUAAUACUAACUCAGCAUGUUUCUGCAGAAAGAAAUUAGAUGGUGUACCAAUUGGUAAAGCUAUCAUUUUAAAUACAGAAAACUUUUCUAGUACACCUCCUGCUAAGUCUUUGAAAUAUUGCCUUCUGGUCCUAAGUGUAAGGCAAGACAUCCUUCUACAAAAGUAAUGAAGCAAACAGAUAUAGGUGUGUAUUUUGGACUACCUCCCAAAAGAAAAGAAGAGAAAUUGCUAGGGGAAAGUGCAUUAAAAGGGAUAAACUUAAAUCCAGUUCCAAGUCCUAAUAAAAAGAGGUCCUGGCAGUGCAAGAGGAAAGCAGAAAAAUCUUUAAGUGAUUUAGAAUUUGAUGCGAAGAAUUUAAAUAAGAGUCAGUUUUCUGUGGAACUUUCUAGUGAGAGGUCACAGCGUCAAAAAAAGAGACUUAAAAAGUCAAAUUCACCACCGGAAACAGUGCAUCAGAAGAGAUCAGAUCACCUUACUAAUGCAGAAUCUGAAACAGUCAAUUUAAGUAAAGUCAAAGUCUUCACAAAAUCAGCUCAUGGUGGGCUGCAAAGGAGGAACAAGAAAAUCCCAGAGUCAUCUACUGUAGGAGAAUUAAGAAAAAAGACAUAUCCAUUUUAUAAGAAAAUACCUGGAACUGGCUUUACAGUUGAUGCCUUUCAGUAUGGCGUGGUUGAAGGCUGCACAGCCUAUUUUCUCACACAUUUUCAUUCUGAUCAUUAUGCUGGAUUGUCUAAACACUUCACAUUUCCCGUUUAUUGUAGUGAGAUAACUGGCAAUUUGUUGAAGAACAAGCUUCAUGUGCAAGAACAAUAUAUCCAUCCAUUGCCACUGGACACCAAAUGUAUCAUGAAUGGUGUCAAAGUUGUUUUGCUUCAUGCCAAUCACUGUCCAGGUGCUGUCAUGAUCCUCUUCUGUCUUCCUAAUGGUACUGUCAUAUUACACACGGGAGACUUCAGAGCAGAUCCCAGCAUGGAACAUUCUCUUCUUGCGAACCGGAAAGUCCAUGUGCUGUACUUAGAUACCACAUAUUUUAGCCCAGAAUACACCUUUCCAUCUCAUCAAGAGGUUAUCCAGUUUGCCAUCAACACUGCCUUUGAGGCUGUAACUCUAAACCCACGUGCUCUUGUUGUCUGUGGUAUUUACUGUGUUGGAAAAGAGAGUCUUCCUAGCCGUUGCUGAUGUUUUAGGUUCAAAAAUGGGCAUGUCCCAAGAAAAAUAUAAAACACUACAGUGCCUCGAUAUACCAGAAAUUGAUUCACUCAUCACUACAAACAUGUGCAGUUCAUUGGUUCACCUUCUCCCAAUGAUGCAAAUUAAUUUCAAGGGCUUACAGGGUCAUUUGGAGAAAUUUGGUGGGAAAUAUAAUCAGAUUUUGGCAUUUAGACCUACAGGAUGGACACACUCUAACAAGUUCACUAGUAUAGCAGAUAUUAUUCCCCAGAUCAAAGGAAACAUUUCAGUAUGUGGAAUUCCUUACAGUGAACACAGCAGCUACCUGGAAAUGAAAUGCUUUGUCCAAAUGGCUGAAGCCCCAGAAAAUCAUACCUACUAUAAAUGUUGGCACCUGGAAAUCUAGGAGCACGAUGGAGAAAUAUUUUAGAGGUGGAAACUGGAAGCUGGAUAUUGAUGAUACCUCCGAGGAUUCAGUAGUAGUUAAGUUCCUUGGUUGUAGCUUGUUAGUAGUUAAGUCUAUAGAGAUAUGAAAUGCACUUUGUGUGGAAAACCUUCAUGAAGAUUGUCCAGAUAGUUUAGUUUCUCAUUUAUGUUUGAACAACAUGUUCCUGGUGCUGAAUGCCUCUCAGCAUCAUCAAGGAUAACUGAAACUGAGUCUCCCUGGGACCCUUACUUUCUUGCCCCUUGCCCUCCAUGGGCAGUUAUAUUCUGCAUCAAGCCCUAGAAGAGGAAGCAAAGGCAGAUUCAGGGACCAAAAGGAUUAAUGAUAAUUAAUAAACUAGAUUGAAACAUGAUAUGUAUAAGCAAUUAUGCAUCUUUAAAAUUAUGAGAUGAAAGUUUUAUAUGUAUACUUAAAUAAAAUUAAUAUAAAAUUUG